CUUUGGGAGGCUGAGGUGGGUGGAUCACCUGAGGUCGAGAGUUCGAGACCAGCCUGGUCAACAUGGUGAAACCCUGUCUCUACUAAAAAUACAAAAUUAUCCGGGCGUGGUGAUGCAUGCCUGUAAUCCUAUCUACUUGGGAGACUGAGGCAGGAGAAUCACUUGAACCCGGGAGGCGGAGUUCACGUGCCUGCUUGGUUUCCUAGAAUAUCUUCUCCAUAAGACAUGAGAUUCAAGCCUGGGAUAUUGUAGUGAAGAAGAGAGAAAGAGAAUGGCAACACCUGAGUUCCAGGAGUCAGCCUGCUAGUAGUAACAGCUAAGUCUUGGUGUUGCUAUGGGGUGGUCUGGCUCUUCAACUAGGCUUUGAUAUUCUUCUAUUGGACAUAAACAAUCUCAGAAAACGUUAAUAUCAGACAAGGCUAUUCUGUCACCAUGAUAGACCAAGACUAAGGCAAGACCACUUCAUAAUAAUUCCUGUACAAAGGCAAAAUAUGAACAUUGUCCACAUCAAAUAAGUGACUAAACAUUUCUUUAAACCAGUUAAUACGAGUGAAUGCUAUUUCCUUAUGAAACAGUGUUAGACUUGCUCUCAUCUAUCUCCCUUCUAGAUUAAACUCAGUCAUAGAAUUGUCUAAACUUUAUGAUAGCAUCCAAUCCAGAGUAAGCCCACUUCUUUCAAUCCUCCCGAAAAUCACUAAAGCAAAGUUCAGAUAGAGUAAGUCAUUUCUAAAACCCAUUUACAGAGAUGCUCCACAAUUCCCCAUGAUGUGCAUUGUCCUUUGCUACGAUGGGAAAUUAACUCAACUUGUUCAAAUACAGGUGUGUUCUUUUUUCUCCUUAGUAGAGGGCAUUGAAUACAAGAGAGAGAGAAGAGAACACAAAGCAGUUUCAGAAAAACACCCAAAAUAAAUCACAAGAAGUAUACCCAAAAUACUUGAAACUUUUCUUGUGUUCCACCAAAAUCUCUAAAUCCCAGAGUAUAUCCUUGAAUUUCAAUUCCAUCAUGUUAGAAUUUAUUUUCAAAGAUGGAGGAUAGAGUAAAUGGUCAAUGCUUCUCUGGUGCAGAGAGGGGUCUUCUUAAAUAUACCCCUAACUUUAUGUCCCAUUGAAAAAAGUAAUAAAAGUAAAUUAAUUAAGAGAAUAUUGACCUCUGAAAAAAUUGCUUGCUCCUUCUUACAGAUAUUUAUGUCAGAGCACAGGGAAUAGUAUUUUAUCACCUUCCUGACUUUUUAUUCCCAUUGCAUAAAUCUGUCAGUGAGCAAGCUCUAUCCCCAGCUGGGCUGGUCUAGCUACAAAAUAAGACAGGCAGAUACCAAUGCAAAACUGUGGUUUAUUUUUGAAAAACUUUUACCUCUGCUUUCAUUUUGGCUUUUAAUAAGUUUGACAAUUCUCAGCAUUUUUUUUUUUUGCUUUUUUGUCCAAAUUUCCUGCCUGAUGGGGAAGUCUGAGGAUGAUUAAUGUUCAAGAAAGUUGUGAGGAAAUGUGCCACCCAAGUUUAAUGCAUUAUUAUUUUACUAAAUCACAAUUUUCUUGGUGUCCAUAUCAGUAGCCUAACCUUAUGCAGUAAUAACUGAUUCAGACUUCAUUUAUAAAACGGAAGGGAAAAAUGCAAGAAUAAAAAGGAAGAGAAUUCACAGCAGAGCAAAGAGAAAUUACUGCCAUAUGAACUCUAACACUGUAGCAUUCUUUCACGGUCUGGUACUUUUUAAUCUUGAGUCAUAGAUGGAAAAAUAAAGGAAAAAAAUUGAGGCACAACCAUUCUACAGUAGGCAAGGCAAUUGAGAUUGCUUGGAUUCAUUACUCUGAACUCCAGCAAACAGCUACAGAAUGCCUAGAAUUCCCCAGACAUGACUAUUACAGCUCUCUGUGGUGGCUCAACAGACUUCGUUUUCAGAUAGGUUAUUUGGAGCACCAAUUUUCUUUCUAAAAAUCUUUGUUUUGGCCUUGAUUUGGAAAUAACCUAUGACCGUAGUAUUUAUUUUUCUGCUUAAGAAUUCAUAGAGAAUUUUGGUUUGGGCAGCAUGACAACUUUUACUUAAUAAAAAUAUGAGAAAAAUAUAUAGUUAUAUAGGCUGAUUCCUUUUCACAAUAACUCUACUGAGCUCAUAUAAUUCAAUCUAGUUUAUUUGUUUUUGUUUUCAUUUUUCUUUAUGUCUCUGACUGAGGCCCAGUGGGCACACUCAAUUUGGAAGGGUUUUAGAAAACAUGGCUGAAAAAUGAUGAAUUACGUAUGUAUUAAAUUGAUGUUCACAAUUUCCUGUAAGUAUAAUCUCUUUUCAUGAAAGUGAUGACUCUUUCAUAAUAGCUGAACUUUAUAAACACACGCACACACAAACUAAAUUAAAUUAAAUUAAAUAUGUCCAGGUAAUAUUUCUAAAUAUAUAUAGAAAGUUAAUCUAAAUUCUAAAUACCUUGUUGAUGUAUGCAGUAUUUUAAAGUCAUUUGGGGGAUAACAAUUCUGGCAUUGUCCUAUAGCAACAAUAAAGAGAGGCAGUUUAAAAACAGCAAUGUAAAGAAGGAUUUCAAGCCAACAUUAAUGGUGUGAUUUAGUCAAGCCCUUUUUAUUGUGGAAUUUUAUAAACCAUUCAAAAUUAUACUUAUAGCUAACAUUUCAAUAUAUUAAAAAUGCUCACAAUAAAAAUUAAUUUCUAAAAAGGCAAAUGAAUGGAGGAUGCAUAUGCAAUAUGUCCUUAACUAUAAAUAUGUUGAAAGAUGAGAGAUCAUGUGGCUGAUAGGCCAGUUGAUACAUAAUAAAAAGAAUAAAUAUAAAGAGACAAAGAGAGAAAAAAAGGAAUAAGAAAGGAAGAACAUAAAGGAAGAAGGAAGAGAGGGAGAGAGGAAGAAAGCAAUAGACGGAGGAAAGGAAAAGGUAGGAGGAAAAAAGACAAAGCUAGCAGGAAACCAAUAUAUAUAUAAUAAAUAUUAAUGUUAAGAAUAUAUUAAUUAAUGGAAGUGUUAAUGAUCUGUGAGUGGUCUGCCCAGAUGUGAUUCUUACUAUACUAUUACAUAGCCCAAAUUUUCUUAAUUGGACAUACAUUUUCUGUAGCCAGAAAAUUAAAAUAUUAAUUUCAGAAAAAAAUUGUUAUUUCUAUCCUCUAAAUGCAUGCCCCAAUGAAUAAUAGUCAAAUAUUAAAAUUACACACACAAAAGUUGUGAAAUAGAAGACUAUAUAUAUUUUUUCAUUAACAUAAACAGAAAAAUUCCUACUAGCUCUUCACAUCAGGAUUUGUAUGACCCAUUAACGUGUUCAAAUGCAACAUUGCUCAUUAAAGGAAGAGUUCUUACAACUCAAUUCAAGGCAAUAAGGCCCCAGCAACUGACCUCACAGGAAUAGUCCCUUGCUUCCUAGCUUGGCAGCACCCCACACUGUUGGUCUUGCAACAGGUAUGCAGAUACACACAAAAUGAAAAAAAAGCACAAGACAGAGUGAAUGGAUGUAUUUAGGUCCUGGUUACUUGACUAUAAUUUGUGAGAUAAAGUAUUUCUAAAGAGUAUUUUCCACAAUUCAUCCAAGUCUCUGUUUCAGCAUCCUAAUUCAAUAUUUGUACUUAUUAACCUACAGACUUGGAUAACAAAAAACUCAUUUAAAAAUAGAAAAGUAGCUCAUAAUUUUAAAGAAUAUAGAGAAGGCACAAUGAAAAUGAAAAUAUAUAAUAUCUUCACUAGCCAGGGAUAACUGUUAUUCCUCCAGCCAGAGAUAACUUUUAUUAUAUUUUUAGAUAAUUAUACAUCCUUACAAUUUUCUAUGUCUUAGUUUUAUAUAAAUAUGUGUUUUAUAUCACAAAAGUUUAAAUCUUUAAUAUUUAAAGAGGUUUAAAACACUGGUGUUUUCUGCAAACAAAUUAUGUCAUAAAAUAAUUUUCAUAGUAAAAUGCAUGCUAUUUUAAUUAACUUUGUAAUGUUACCUUAGAUGUAUAAAAAUGUAUUUAAACAAAUCCCUUCUUAUUUAAAUUUAGCUUACUCUUGGAUUUUCCAGUUUAUUUACCACAUACUUAUUAAUAUGUACUAUAGUUAUUUAAUAAUGUAUUUACUAUUAUAAUUAGCAUUGACACUGAGACAUGUUUUUUCACAAAUAUUUAGUGUUUUACAGUUCAAUUUUUAUAACAUAUAAUUAGUGAAUUGUACGAUGUAGAUAUUGAAUUUUUGAAAUUAUUUUGUAUGAAUAGUUUUACAUAUUUAUGAUACUAAUCUCAUGUUUUAAAUUUGUUGCAAAUGGUUUUCCUGAUGUUUGUCUCCUCUUAAAGACUAUGGUCUUUCUUCAUAUAGACUUUAAAAAAAAUGUUAUGUACUCAACUGACUUCUUUAUUAAAUAUAUUGUUUCCUAGCUUAUGAUUAUAUAGAUAUUUACCUAUAUGGACUUCUGAUGAUAUAUAUAUAUAUUUACAUAUUAUGAUAUAUUGAAUAUUUAAUACAGCUGAGUUUUGCUUUGGCAUUAAGUAUAGGAUUAACCUCUAUCCUUUACCCACUAAAAAGAAAUGUUAUCUUUAUAUUAUAUGUUUCAAUAUAAAUUCCUAAAUUUAAACUUAAUGUGAUUAUUCUAUAUAUAUAACUUGACAGUAGUGUCCAUUUAUUUGAUUAAAAUAAAAUUUUAACCUCAUUUAUUACAUAAUAAAUUAAGACUUUCCAUCACAUUUUCUUACACAAAUCUUUAUAUUUCUAGAUAAACUUAAAAAUCAUUAUUUUCCAAUUCUAAAAAUCUAAUAAAAUGUUCAUUAUAAAUCUAACAAAUAGGCUAACAUUAGAAGUAAUGCAUCUUUGAAAAUAUUAAUGCAAGCUAUCCCAUUGCAUGUAUUUAAAUUAUCUUGUUUAAUAGUUAGAUUCCUGUUCUCUUUACAUAGAGCAUAUUUAGAUGUGAUUAAGUUUCGUAUGAUUUUGAGCAACGUUUUCUAAAGAGAUUUUUUCAUCAUCUUAUAUAUGUCUUGUUUUGGAAAGUUGCAUUAAAUUUGCAACUGGCUAAUUUAUUUUCUUUUUUGAGCUGAUUAGGCAAUUGUAUUAACAUUGAAAUGUUUUUCCUGUUUUUGAUUUUUUAAAUUAUUUUGUUUUCUUGUGUUAUUGAUUUAGAAUGAGAGCUCACGUCUUGUCUUGUUCUUGAUUUUUAAUACAAAUGAUUUGAUCAAUGGAAGAUAUAAACAUUAACCAUGACUACUGCUUUUGGCUUGAUAUAAGUUUUAUUUUAUUAUGUUGGAGAAAUAGUCUGUUCUGGUUUUAUUGUUUUGCCAGGAAUGAAUGUAGAAUUUGAUCAAAUCUAUCUUUAGCUUAUUUCAAUAUAAUUUGCAGCUAAUGAAUUCUCUAAUUGGAUCAUCCUUGAAUUUUAGGGAUAAAUACUAGUUCUUCCUGUUAUAUUUAUUUUUUUGCAUGCUACUUAAUUUAAUUCAAAAUAUACAGAGUUAAUAUGCUUUUAUUUUAAUGCCAUCCUCUGCAAGUUAGUAAGAAAUAUGCUGAGUUCAAAAAUGCAAUGGCAAAUCCUUUUGGCUGAUCCAUGUGCUGAAGCAAUUCUAAUCAUGUAAACUUAAUCUACUGCCUAAAAAUUCUACAGAAAUCUCUUAUAAAACAGUUUUAACUCAGUAUCAUUAUAGGUGUAUUGGAAGAUGGUUUGCUGUUGUGUUGGUUGUUUUUCUCAUAUAGUUAGUGAAAUACUUAAAUUGUAUUUCUCUAAUUAAUUCGGCUUUGAUCAAUUGUAUUUUCUCACAAUAUCGUAUAAUUUCCUAUGAGUUUUAAUAUGUAUUAUUAUUUGAUAUAAUCUCCUAUUGUUUGUAAAAUAUAUUUGAUCUAUACAGUUAUAUCAUAUUAAUAAUUCACACUGGCAAUUGUUUGUGAUUAUAUUUUAAUUUAUUCUUGAUUACUUUGUAAGAAAUAUCUCUAAUAUUUUCAGUGUUUAAAAGACUUGCUUUCCAGAUU
rnacentral:lncRNA from 10 species